GGAUUCUAUUAUUUGAAGUUCAGACAUUCUUGUAAAUCAACAUUCCUGUGAACAUGAAGUUGAAUGCUUCAACCAAUUAUUUUGUUGCCUUUUUUCCAUUUUUUUAUCUGGCAGGCCUGCAAUACUCAACUGCUAUUGGAAGUAAUGUUCGUGACAUGAUACACGGAAUCACAGUUCAUAUACGAGGUAAGUUGAGUUCUUCUAUUCUC